rnacentral:rRNA from 1 species
GGAGUCUGGUCCGUGUCUCAGUACCAGUGUGGGGGACCUUCCUCUCAGAACCCCUAACGAUCGUUGGCCAGGUGGGCCGUUACCCCGCCUGCUGCCUAAUCGGACGCAUCCCCAUCCAUGGCCGAUGAAAUCUUUAGUCCUCAUUAGAUGUCUGCAAAGGACCCCAUAGGGCAUUAAUCCGCUUUUCAGCGGGCUAUUCCCUGGCCGUGGGCAGGUUGGAUACGCGUUACUCACCCGUGCGCCGGUCGCCAUCAGAGUUUGCAAGCAAACUCCAUGCUGCCCCUCGACUUGCAUGUGUUAAGCCUGUAGCUAGCGUUCAUC